AGACUUAUUUUUCUACUGUAUUAUUGACUUUGUUUGUUUGUUUGAGUAGGCUAUUCCUAAAAAUGAAGAUAAUAGUAACAUAAUAUUCAGUGGGGUGUAAUUUGACUAUAAUUUAGUCUGUUUCUUGUGAGGUUUUCUGUCCUCAGAUAAAGAGGGCUAUGAAAUUCUGUCUACAUAUGAAGAGGUCCCAAUGAAGAGCAGUGGUUCUCAGUCCUGGUCCUGGGGACUCAAAGGGGUGCGCAGCUGAUUCAAAUGAUCAACUCAUCAUCAAAGCUUCAAGUAGUAUUUGUGUAUUCAUUUGUGAUGCUAUCCUUGAUAAGAUCCUGUUAUUGUCACAUACUACACAUGCGUGUGCCCAUGCAUCUAUCAAUCCAAUGUUAUCAUGAGUUGUUAUCAGGGAUAUUAUUAUAAUCCACAAGGACCUGAUGGUGUAAAAGUCUAAUAAUUACAUUGUCUUCCAUAUUCCUACAGAUACCUUGUAACUGGAGAUUCCUUAAACGAUUGCCACUUCCAUUUACUUAGCUAUGUCAACUGCAGUUAUUCAGUUCCCAAUUUCUCUCCCCUUGAUUUCUACUUCUCAGGUGAUGGUGCUGUUUAGGUAAGGGUGUGAUGUCUGUACAAAAACAAAACAGGAUAUUUUAAAUCACCCAUAUUGAAAAAAUGUAGAACAAGUAGACACCCUAUAACCCCCCCAGACACACUCAUGUAUCAAUCUGAUUGAUGGAUUGUGUUGCUGAGUAAUGUGUCCCUUCCACCUUCAUAGAAUAGGCAAGACGGCCAACCAUGGAGAAUAGUAAGACACUUCAUUAUUUCUAUAACUACGCUAUAUUGUUUUUCCUUGUGUGUCCGUUCAUGUUUUUCAGCAUAAAGAACUCUGCCGCCACUUAGUGUGGACACCAGGUUAUAUCAGCUGUGUCGGUGAACCCCUCCUGCAUUGGAACUGGCUACAUAGAGGCCACAGCAUGAUCAGAGAUAUGUUUUGAUGUGAGAGGAUGCCAACCCGCAGUCCUAUCAUCGCCACCUCACCCACUUUUAAGAUAGCCUUUGGGCUGACUAGAGACACUAUUAUGUAAUUGUGAUGAACUGAGAGAAUAUUAGGGUAGCACUGUGAUUCAUAAAUCAUAUGCUGUCUUCCCUGCUCAUAUGUUCUUACCUCUUUCCCUUUCUGUCUUUUACACCUCUCUCGCCACCUCUUUCUUCAUCUGUUUUUAUAAUGCACAAGAGAUGUGCAUUGAAGUACAGAUUGAACUUGUAUUUAUAAUGCAUUUUGGUACACGUCUCUACAGGUUUGGAUUUUCUAAAUUCAUAUACUUUCGUAAACCCCAAAGGGGGACAUUAGGAAAAUGUCUGUCUACAUAGUUAUGUUCGCUACCUCCAAAAGUAGUCAGAUGUGGUUCUUAGGCAGUCUGAUGCUGCAGUUCGAUCCAGCCUGAUCCGGUUUUGUCCCACAUCACAGUGGAUCUGUUGUGGCAUCUGUGUCCUGGAAAAGUUAUCUGUGGUGAUGGCCGACACUCCCUGUGACAUCCACAUGGGGCUGCCCUAUGGAACUCUGACGGACAUCGAGAUAAGGAAGCUCCACACCCCCUUCCUCCAGGACAACGGCCUCCUUUCCCUCUGGGUGAUAGGCAGGUACCUCCACUACCUCCACCAAUCAGAUAUGAGUGGAAUAGUGUGUUACUAAUCGACCAAUCAGCUGCCAGGAGAGCAGUACAUGCUAAUGAACAUGCACUACAGCAGAAAGGGUCUGACAGAGCGGUUUAAUGAUAGAAGCCUUAAACUCCUGAUUUUGGAUUAUGUUGAUUGGUGCUUUGACAUAUUUCACUUAGAAUUUACAAUAGACUGUUUUAAUCUCCAUGUUUCUCCCUAGCUCUUUUCUUUAGGGCUAUGGAGUUGUGUGUAGAAUGUGUUUCUUUUGGGGUGAGUCUCUUUAUUCAUCAAACUUUGUGACAGUUGACUUACCUACUGGCCCAAUCUGACUGCGGGUCUUCCCCUUGCUUUCUCUCGUAGCGAUGAGCGUGUUGAUGAGAUCAUUUGGUUGAAGACCAACCAGUUACAGCGAUUUUGGUAGGUGUGACUGAAAGCCCCCAGGGAUUCAAUAGGGCUGGACUGUGAUGUCAUUGUGGCCAAGGUGCAUUCCAUCAACCACAAGCCAAAUGAGAUCUGUGGGAUUGAUACUUUCACCUGGUACCCAGGAGAUUGAGCUCUCUGGCAGACCUCACAAUGUCCAACCCAACUUGGUAACUCUUGCUAAUCAAUUGGAGGGCAUGCACCUAAGAUACCUCUUGGACCCUGACGUUGUGGCUCGCUUCAGGAAGUGCCACCCAGACGGAGUCAUUUGCAAACCAAAGAACAUUUAGAGAGUCGUCUGUCGGACUGUCUUCACUUUAUUCGUCUUUUUGUACCAAUUACAAUAUUUUGUAAUGAACAAGGUUGAAAGAAAAAUAUCUUCAUUAGAUAUUUGCACAUUUCACAAUAUCAAGCUAAAUGAAUCCACCAAAACAUUUUAGUAUGCAAAUUAUUUUUUGUAUUACAUUUGUUAGUAGUACAUUUCAGCCAUUCCCAUUACAACAAGAAUAGAGUAAAAUGUUAGGAUCUUUGAUUUCCAUUCAAAUGGUUGAACAUUGGGUAAAUCAUCAAUGUUUUUGUCACCAUUAUUGGGGAUUGCAUACAGUGCUUUCACAAAGUAUUCUCACCACUUGACUUUCUCCACAUUUUGUUGUUACAAAGUGGGAUUACAAUUGAUUAAAUUGUCAUUUUUGUCAACAGUAUGCAAAAUACUCUGUCAAAGUGGAAGAAAAUUUAAACAAUGUUUUUUAUUAAUGGAAAAUCAAAUAUUUAGAUAAGUAUAUCAACCCCCUAAGUCAAUUCAUGUUUGACUCACCUUUGGCAGUGCUCACAGCUGUGAGUCUUUUUCUUGGUAAAUGUCCAAGAGCUUUGAAACCUGGAUCCUAUACUAUUUGUAAGGUUUUCCUGAUUUCAGUCUGCUUUCCAACAGAUACUGGGAGACAAAUCCACCUUUCAGCAGGACAAUAAACCUAAAACGCAAGGCUAAAUAUACGCUGGCGAUACUUACCAAGACGACAUUGAAUGUUCCCGAGUGGCCUAGUUACAGUUUUGACUUAAAUCGUCUUGAAAGUGUAUGGCAUGACUUAAAUGUAUUGUGGAGUAAGUACUAUGUUGAUCCAUCCUCAGUUUCCUAUCACAGCCAUUUAACUCCAACUGGUUUAAAAUCACCAUUGGCCUCAUGGUGAAAUCCCUGAGCGGUUUCCUUCCUCUCCAUCAACUGAGUUGGUGACUGGGUGUAUUGAUACACCAUCCAAAGUGUUAUUAAUAACUUCCCCAUGCUCAAAAGAAUAUUCAAAUUAUUUUUCGCCACUAACCAAUUGGUGCCCUUCGUGAGGUAUUGGAAAACCUCCCAUGUCUUUGUGGUUGAAAUUCACUGCUCGACUGAGGGACCUUACAGAUAAUUGUAUGUGUGGUGUACAGUGAUGAGGUAGUCAUAAAGAAAAGUUACACUUAUUGCA